AAUUUUUGUCUUAAGAAUAAACAUUAUUGAUAAGUUUCUUUCCCCUGCAUUCCUCGAUCGCACUUGUAAAUAGCACAUUGGCCUCAAGACAUUGGUACACUAUACGUUACAACUCUUGCCGUCAGUACUUAAAAUUGGAAAAAUAUUACAUAAGAAGGUUGCCAGCAAGAUGAAAAGAACAAUGCAGUUCAAAAGUUAAAAUGUGGAUAAGCUGAUGUACAAGGUCCUACUUUUGCAGAUUUUCAUAUUUUGCAUGAAUGAAUUUGAAGUUUAUAUCAUGGAGGGCAGAGAAAGAAAAGAAACACUUCAAUUUUCCUGCUUCUGAAGAAUAAAUGUAAAACAUCUUGUUCGAAGGAUUGAAAUUCAUCAAUUAGAAUAAAAGGAGAAAACAAAGAAACAAGACCAGAAUAAAUUCAAAGACAAAAGUCAGAUCAGUUAUUAUUUUCAUCACUCAGUCAAUGAAUUGAAGUUCUAUUAAAUAUCUCAAGUCAAAAGAUAUUAAAACCACAAUAAUGACAAUGUUCUGUGCUGAAUGGCCAAAAAGUGGACUAUACAUUACAAUCACACAAUGCUGGAUGAUAAGAAACUAUUAAUUUUUUGGGUGGAGGGAUAUCCUGAAAAAAAAUAGAUUUACGUAAAAAGCUACUAGUAUGUUAAGCCUAAUAAAAGAGUUUUCAUUGAUUUCAAAUGGGAAAAAAUUGUGUUUCAAAAAAGUAUUCUAGAAUUCAUAAAUAAACAUAUAUUGAUACUUACAUUA